UGAAAGGGAUGCAAAACCCACCCCCUACUU
rnacentral:piRNA from 1 species